rnacentral:rRNA from 1 species
UACGAAGGGGGCGAGCGUUGUUCGGAUUUACUGGGCGUAAAGGGCGCGUAGGCGGCCCUCCUUGUCGCGUGUGAAAGCCCCGGGCUCAACCUGGGAAUUGCGCGCGAAACGGGGGGGCUUGAGUUCGGGAGAGGAGCGUGGAAUUCCCAGUGUAGAGGUGAAAUUCGUAGAUAUUGGGAAGAACACCGGUGGCGAAGGCGGGUCUCUGGGCAGUAACUGACGCUGAGGAACGAAAGCGUGGGUAGCAAACAGG